AGAUUCAUAUACAUAAUCCUUAGCUCUUAUUGUUCCACAUGCCAAAGUAUGGUUGAGGAGGAUAACCUUCUACAAAUAGAGGGCCAGUCUUUGGUCAGGGGUAUAUGAGUACUUGUACUCCCCUGCUAGAACCUCCAAACAAGCUCUUAGAUACAUGAUCCUCUGGUGACAUUUUACAUUCAAACCACUGUAAGGGGAUUU
rnacentral:sRNA from 1 species